rnacentral:rRNA from 1 species
UACGGAGGAGGCAAGCGUUAUCCGGAAUCAUUGGGCGUAAAGGGUGUGUAGGCGGUUGUGUUAGUUUUCCGUUAAAUUCUUCGGCUUAACCGGGGGCAUGCGGAGGAAACGGCACAACUAGAGGAUGCGAGAGGUGAAUGGAACUCAUGGAGUAGGGGUGAAAUCCGUUGAUAUCAUGGGGAACACCAAAAGCGAAGGCAAUUCACUGGCGCACGCCUGACGCUGAGACACGAAAGCGUAGGUAGCGAAUGGG